AGCAUCCUACGGGGGGCAGCAGUAGGGAAUCUUCCACAAUGGGCGAAAGCCUGAUGGAGCAACGCCGCGUGGGUGAAGAAGGUCUUCGGAUCGUAAAACCCUGUUGUUAGAGAAGAAAGUGCGUGAGAGUAACUGUUCACGUCUCGACGGUAUCUAACCAGAAAGCCACGGCUAACUACGUGCCAGCAGCCGCGGUAAUACGUAGGUGGCAAGCGUUAUCCGGAAUGAUUGGGCGUAAAGGGUGCGCAGGCGGCACCAUAAGUCUGCAGUAACAGCCAUCGGCUCAACCGAUGUAAGCUUUGGAA
rnacentral:rRNA from 1 species